rnacentral:lncRNA from 1 species
UUUUGGGGCAUAUUUGUGAACUCUUUCAUCAAAAAUUUGGAAGCCACUGAGUCACAGGGCUAUUUCUAGGAGAAAUUAUUACCUACACUGUAUGCACAACAAUGCACCACAAAGCUAAUCACAACUGCUAGUUUCUAUAGUGGUGCAUCAAGAAAAUUACUUGAUGAAUGGGGUCCAUAAAAAUUAGUGGUUGUGAUUAAAUACACGCAUAGCUACAUGGUACAUACAAUGUAGACAAUAAUUUUUUUUAUUUUUAUGCUUCAUGUGACAGCCCAUCAUUUAAAAAAAUAUAUUUUUUAAUAUUUUUAUGGAU